GCCAGGAUGGCUCAGUGGUUGAGCGUGGACAUAUGAACUAGGAGGUCCAGGUUCGAUUCCUGGUCAGGGCA
rnacentral:tRNA from 1 species